rnacentral:rRNA from 1 species
AGUGAACGCUGGCGGUAGGCCUAACACAUGCAAGUCGAACGGCAGCACAGGAGAGCUUGCUCUCUGGGUGGCGAGUGGCGGACGGGUGAGGAAUACAUCGGAAUCUACCUUUUCGUGGGGGAUAACGUAGGGAAACUUACGCUAAUACCGCAUACGACCUACGGGUGAAAGUGGGGGACCGCAAGGCCUCACGCGAUUAGAUGAGCCGAUGUCCGAUUAGCUAGUUGGCGGGGUAAUGGCCCACCAAGGCGACGAUCGGUAGCUGGUCUGAGAGGAUGAUCAGCCACACUGGAACUGAGACACGGUCCAGACUCCUACGGGAGGCAGCAGUGGGGAAUAUUGGACAAUGGGCGCAAGCCUGAUCCAGCCAUACCGCGUGGGUGAAGAAGGCCUUCGGGUUGUAAAGCCCUUUUGUUGGGAAAGAAAUCCUAUCGGUUAAUAACCGGUGGGGAUGACGGUACCCAAAGAAUAAGCACCGGCUAACUUCGUGCCAGCCGCCGCGGUAACAC